GACGAACGCUGGCGACGUGCUUAACACAUGCAAGUCGAACGGAAAGGCCUGCUUUCCCUUGUGGAUUGCGGGUACUCGAGUGGCGAACGGGUGAGUAACACGUGAGUGAUCUGCCCCCAACUUGGGUAUAAGCCUGGGAAACUGGGUCUAAUUCCCGAUAGGACUGCAGGGUGGUGCCUGUGGUGGAAAACGAUUUUCUAGUGGUUGGGGAUGAGCUCGCGGCCUAUCAGCUUGUUGGUGGGGUAAUGGCCUACCAAGGCGGCGACGGGUAGCCGGCCGGAGAGGGUGGACGGCCACAGUGGGACGGAGAGACGGCCCAGACGCGUACGGGAGGCAGCAGUGGGGAAGAAUGCACAAUGGGCGGAAGCCUGAUGCAGCGACGCAGCGUGGGGGAUGACGGCCUUCGGGUUGUAAACUCCUUUCGACCGCGAGGAAGCCACCUGGUUGGAAGGGUGGUGACGGUAGUGGUAGAAGAAGCACCGGCUAACUACGUG
rnacentral:rRNA from 1 species